AUUGAACGCUGGCGGCAUGCCUUACACAUGCAAGUCGAACGGCAGCACGGGAGCAAUCCUGGUGGCGAGUGGCGAACGGGUGAGUAAAGUAUCGGAACGUGCCCAGUCGUGGGGGAUAACGUAGCGAAAGUUACGCUAAUACCGCAUACGAUCUAUGGAUGAAAGCGGGGGAUCGCAAGACCUCGAGAGAUUGGAGCGGCCGAUAUCAGAUUAGGUAGUUGGUGGGGUAAAGGCUCACCAAGCCGACGAUCUGUAGCUGGUCUGAGAGGACGACCAGCCACACUGGGACUGAGACACGGCCCAGACUCCUACGGGAGGCAGCAGUGGGGAAUUUUGGACAAUGGGCGAAAGCCUGAUCCAGCCAUGCCGCGUGCAGGAUGAAGGCCUUCGGGUUGUAAACUGCUUUUGUACGGAACGAAAAGGUUUGGCCUAAUAAGCUGAGCUCAUGACGGUACCGUAGGAAUAAGCACCGGCUAACUACGUGCCAGCCGCCGCGGUAA
rnacentral:rRNA from 1 species